rnacentral:rRNA from 1 species
CACGUAGUUAGCCGUGACUUAUUCCUGGGGUACCGUCCGUUCUCUUCCCCCAGAAAAGGAGUUUACGACCGAAGCCUUCAUCCUCCACGCGGCGUUGCUGCAUCAGGGUUUCCCCCAUUGUGCAAUAUUCCUC